CCUACGGGUGGCAGCAGUGGGGAAUCUUCCGCAAUGGGCGAAAGCCUGACGGAGCAAUGCCGCGUGAGUGAAGAAGGCCUUCGGGUUGUAAAACUCUGUCCUAAGGGAAGAAAGGCUUUUAUGUGAAUAAUGUAAAAGACUGACGGUACCUUAGGAGGAAGCCCCGGCUAACUACGUGCCAGCAGCCGCGGUAACACGUAGGGGGCAAGCGUUGUCCGGAAUUACUGGGCGUAAAGCGCGCGUAGGCGGGCAUUUAAGUCAGAUGUGAAACCUCUGGGCUCAACCGAGAGCAUGGAUCUGAUACUGGAUGUCUUGAGUGUAGAAGAGGAGAGUGGAAUUCCUAGUGUAGCGGUGAAAUGCGUAGAUAUUAGGAGGAACACCAGUGGCGAAGGCGACUCUCUGGUCUAUAACUGACGCUGAGGCGCGAAAGCGUGGGGAGCAAACAGGAUUAGAUACCCUUGUAGUC
rnacentral:rRNA from 1 species